GGCAGUAUAGCUUAGUGGUAGAGCAUGUGCUUAGCAUGCAAGAGGUCCUGGGUUCAAUCCCCAGUACCUCCA
rnacentral:tRNA from 1 species